AAUAAAGGAAAGGAAAGAAAGGAAAGCCUUAAAUUUCGAAAACCCUCCCCUUCUCUUCACAAAAAUUGUCACUGCACUUCCCUCACAGCAAUCUUUCUCAAUCUCUCCACUGCCAUUGCCAACGCCGGCGACUUCUGCGAUUGAACGCCGACCAGCCAAAUGCACUGCUACCACCUCUUGUCGACGUCUUCCCCCUCACUCUCAGGUUUUAUUUUCCCAUCACGCGUUCGGGUUUCCAUCUUUUCCUUAUGCCCCAUCUCCGAUUGUCGCCCUCCUCCUCUUUGUUUCAAUUCCCCUUGUUUCUCCCCAUCUCCGUCUGCUACCGCAACUCACGCUUCUUAGUGCCUCUUUUCUUUCUCUCUCUUCUUCCCUUUCUUUUUUACUGUUAAUUUUUUCCUCGCUUGCACACGGAUCUCCUUCCUUACCCAAGCGUCAUUUCGCCAUCGCUGUCGACGGUGAUUAGAAUAGAGUGGGCUUCCAUUUAUAGUGUCGUGUGGAAGUCAGCUGCUUAUAUCCUUGGUUGGCUCCAUUUCGACUUCAUCCUAUUUUGACUUUAGAUUCAGCUCAAGUGACUAUGGAGGCUCCAGCAAAGGUCUUCAGUACUGAAGGUGAUGCUCUUGGCGAGACUUGGCAUAUGGUCUUUAGUACUGAAGGUAAGUUUGUGACAAAAAGAAACAAGUAGUACAUCAAGAAUGUGGGAAAUCGUAGAAACACAUAAUAUUUUCAAAGGUGAAGGAUUACCGGUUGGUUGUUUAUGCUUGUACAAAAAAUCAUGUUAUAUGUAUUAUGAUGAUAUUUACACUGGUUUUGAUUAAGGACUGUAAUUUCAUACUUGUAAAUUGUUCAAACUUGAUUGUAAAUGUACGAAUAUUACAAAGCGUAUUAUAUUAGAGUGUCGACCAUUUGUUUCUA